UAACCUGCCCAUUGGGUUCUAAAAGGCCGCGGUAUUAUGACCGUGCAAAGGUAGCAUAAUCAUUAGUCUUUUAAUUGAAGGCUAGAAUGAAUGGUUGGACAAGAAAUAAUCUGUCUUAAAUUAAUAUAUUGAAUUUAACUUUUAAGUGAAAAGGCUUAAAUUUUCUAGAGUGACGAUAAGACCCUAUAAAACUUUAUAUUUUAAAAUAAUAAUUAAUUUUAUUUAAGAAUUUUAUUUAAAAAUAUUUUAUUGGGGUGAUAAAGAUAUAAAUUUAAAUAACUGUCUUCUUUUUUUACAAUAAUAUUUGAAUUAAUGAUCCUAAAAAGGAGUAAAAGAUCAAGUUACUUUAGGGAUAACAGCGUAAUUUUUUUUAAGAGUUCAUAUCGACAAAAAAGUUUGCGACCUCGAUGUUGAAUUAAAAAAUCUUUAUAGAGCA
rnacentral:rRNA from 1 species